CCGGCGACGAGUGGCGAACGGGUGAGUAAUACAUCGGAACGUGUCCGCUCGUGGGGGACAACCAGCCGAAAGGUUGGCUAAUACCGCAUGAGUUCUACGGAAGAAAGAGGGGGACCCGCAAGGGCCUCUCGCGAGCGGAGCGGCCGAUGACUGAUUAGCCGGUUGGUGAGGUAACGGCUCACCAAAGCAACGAUCAGUAGCUGGUCUGAGAGGACGACCAGCCACACUGGGACUGAGACACGGCCCAGACUCCUACGGGAGGCAGCAGUGGGGAAUUUUGGACAAUGGGCGCAAGCCUGAUCCAGCUAUUCCGCGUGUGGGAUGAAGGCCCUCGGGUUGUAAACCACUUUUGUAGAGAACGAAAAGACACCUUCGAAUAAAGGGUGUUGCUGACGGUACUCUAAGAAUAAGCACCGGCUAACUACGUGCCAGCAGCCGCGGUAAUACGUAGGGUGCGAGCGUUAAUCGGAAUUACUGGGCGUAAAGGGUGCGCAGGCGGUUGAGUAAGACAGAUGUGAAAUCCCCGAGCUUAACUCGGGAAUGGCAUAUGUGACUGCUCGACUAGAGUGUGUCAGAGGGAGGUGGAAUUCCACGUGUAGCAGUGAAAUGCGUAGAUAUGUGGAAGAACACCGAUGGCGAAGGCAGCCUCCUGGGACAUAACUGACGCUCAGGCACGAAAGCGUGGGGAGCAAACAGGAUUAGAUACCCUGGUAGUCCACGCCCUAAACGAUGUUAACUAGUUGUUGGGAAGUAAAAUUCUCAGUAACGCAGCCAACGCGAGAAGUUAACCGCCUGGGAAGUACGGUCGCAAGACUAAAACUCAAAGGAAUUGACGGGGACCCGCACAAGCGGUGGAUGAUGUGGAUUAAUUCGAUGCAACGCGAAAAACCUUACCUACCCUUGACAUGUCA
rnacentral:rRNA from 1 species